UCUUCCCUCUGGCGGCGUGCCUAAUACAUGCAAGUCGAGCGAACGGACGAGAAGCUUGCUUCUCUGAUGUUAGCGGCGGACGGGUGAGUAACACGUGGAUAACCUACCUAUAAGACUGGGAUAACUUCGGGAAACCGGAGCUAAUACCGGAUAAUAUUUUGAACCGCAUGGUUCAAAAGUGAAAGACGGUCUUGCUGUCACUUAUAGAUGGAUCCGCGCUGCAUUAGCUAGUUGGUAAGGUAACGGCUUACCAAGGCAACGAUGCAUAGCCGACCUGAGAGGGGGAUGGGCCAAGCUGGAACGGAAGCAGGGGCAAAACCCCCAGGGGAGGAAGAAGUGGGGAAUCUUCCGAAAUGGGGGAAAGCCUGAGGGAGAAACGCCGGGGGAGUGAAGAAGGUUUGCGGUUCGAAAAACGUUUUUUUUGGGAAAAAAAUUAGGGGAAAGAAACGGUGCAAAUCUUGGGGGUACCAAAUAAAAAAGCAACGGCUAACUCAGG
rnacentral:rRNA from 1 species